rnacentral:rRNA from 1 species
UACGUAGGGCGCGAGCGUUGUCCGGAAUCAUUGGGCGUAAAGAGCUCGUAGGCGGUUUGUCGCGUCUGCUGUGAAAACUGGAGGCUCAACCUCCAGCCUGCAGUGGGUACGGGCAGACUAGAGUGCGGUAGGGGAGAUUGGAAUUCCUGGUGUAGCGGUGGAAUGCGCAGAUAUCAGGAGGAACACCAAUGGCGAAGGCAGAUCUCUGGGCCGUAACUGACGCUGAGGAGCGAAAGCGUGGGGAGCGAACAGG